AGUAAAGCGCGCAAAAACCAGAUAAGAGAUAAGAGAUAAGAGAUACGAGCGCGUUCCUUCGGGAGUGUUGCUCUUAUCUUUUCUCUCUUAUCUAGUCCCUGGGGUUUGUGGCGGCUUUUGGAGGGGCUUGCGGCCUAUCAGAUAGUUGGUGGGGUAACGGCCUACCAAGUCAUCGACGGGUAGCUGGUCUGAGAGGAUGGUCAGCCGGACUGGGACUGAGAUACGGCCCAG
rnacentral:rRNA from 1 species